CGGGUCCGGGCGCUGACAAUGAGAGGCGGCCCCGGCGCCGCUACGUCACCGCGAGGGGAGCGGGGCCCGGCGGGGCGGGGGGCGGGAGCGGCGCUGCCGGGCGGGGCGGGGGUCGGGGGCCCGGCGGUCCCGGUCCGUGGCGGACUUUGGCGGCCGCCUCAGCCGGGCGACCCGCUCCGGGCGCCGCCGCUUCCGCGGGCUGCGCCGUCGUUGGGAGAAGCGCGGAAGGAGUUUCGGCCAUUUUGGGGGAAAGAGGGCGCGGGGCGGCCGGAGGGAACCGCGAGCUGGGAGAGCGAAACGGGAGAGAGCGGCGGCCGCCGGGGCGAGCCGGGACGGGAACGGGGGCGGCGGGGAGCGGCUCGGGGCCGGAGCUCCGCGGGAGGAGGGAGCGAUGGGGGCGGCGGUGCGGUGGCCCUCGGCCCGUCCGGAGUUGCGGAGCUCCGCGGCCGUUCCGCCGCCGCCCGUCCCGAGGCGUGCGCAGCCCCCGCUGUCUGCCGCGCGCCUCUGCCUGCCGAACGACGAGGAGGAACCGGAGUGUGGCGGAACGUCCGUCCUCAAAGGCUGCCCCCCACCGUGCCGCCCCUGGGAGUUUGGGACGUGGCGCUGAACGAAGCGGUCGGUGAUUCAGCUGCGGCUGCUUCUGGUGGGGAUCACAGAGCGGUUGGAGUUGGAAGAGGCUCUCAGAAGUCCAACUCGCAGCAUUGGGCACAGACACCCACAGCUCCAUCGGUGCUCGGAGCCCCCCCGGCCUCACCUCGGGUGUCUGCAGGGAUGGGCACCACCGCCCCUACGAGCAGCCCAUUCCAGUGCCUCACCGCCCUUAUUGUUUUCCUUACAUCCAAUCUAGAGCUCCCCUCUGUUAGUUUGAAACCAUUUCCCCCUGUCCUAUCACCCUGCUAAAGAGUCUGUCCCCUUUCUUACAGCCCCUUCAGACUGACAGGCCGCUAUAGGUCUCCCCGCAGCCUUCCCUUCUCCAGCUGCACAGCCCAGCUCUCAGCCUGGAGGUGUUCCAUCCCUGGGAACAUUUUUGUGGCCCUCCUCUGGAUGCUCUCCAACAGCCCCACGUCCCUCCUGUACUGAGGACUCCCAUCCGGGCGCAGUGCUGCAGGGCUGCGCUCCAUCCUCACACCCCCUGGCUCAUACUGAUGGUGAGGGUUGCUGUGACCCGGGUGCAGACCUCGCACGUGGAUUUAUUGAACCUCAUAAGGCUGAUUCCAGACGUAAGGGGGGGGAACAAGCUGACUUGAGGGGAAAUAACGGGGAACUUUAUUUCCAACUGUGUCUCUGAACCAGCAUCCAGGUGGCGACUCCAAAGAGACAGGAAAACUAGGGAAUGACCAACAUCAGGCAUCUGCUGUGGGUGGUGUGGAAGUGUGGCUGCAGCUGAUGGUAUCAGGGCUGCAGCAGCAGAGCUGCAGCUGCUGGAGGAGGUAUUUUGGAGAACAAAUUUGGGAAAUGAAGAGAAAUAAGGAAAAGCUAGCUGACCUUUGGAGAAGGAGCUGUUUUGUGUUGUUUCUUGUUCAUGGGGAGUUAGUACAGUCAAUGGAAGCACAGGGCAAAGGGACAGAAAGGGGUAAGGGGAAGUGAGGAUGUAACAUAGUGAUGGAGGCAGACCCAGCUCUGGGCCGGACUGAGGGGUUGGCAACAAGGGCAGCCUGCCAAAAAUUGGAGAGACAGGAACAGUGGGAAGGGAGUACAGCUCUGAAGAGUAAAGGGGACAGAAGUGCAGCAAACUGCACAGGCUGGAAUAGGAAGAGGGGCAGAGGCACAGGGGAGGAGGAGAUAUGCCAGGGGUUGCUUGUGGGGAGGUAGGAAUGGCAGAGUGUUUAAGUCAGGAGGGAACAAGAGGGAAAAGGGAAUCUCUUUCUUACUCAGAGGACUUGCAGGGACAGCCUUGUUUUCUUAUGGUGCCAGGGGUGCAGAAUAUAAAUCAUGUGGGCAGAUGUGAUCAGAGACGAAGUAGGGGGAGGGGAGAUCAUAAACACCCAUAGAAUUAUAAAUAAUAUGGGGAAGCAGCAGGAACUGUCAGCAUGUCUGACAGCAGGGGACCGUAUGGGUGCAGCAGGCUGGAACAAACAGAAGUAGCUCGUGCUGGUUUUGCACAGCUUGAUCACAUGAGAAGUGCCUGGCCAUGGGAUGCCACAGACACCGGAGGCACGAGCAUGGAAAGGGAUUACAGAAGCUUACAGAAAACAGAUUUCUCACUGUCUGCUAAAAAUGUUUCUGAGUCGUCUUCCAGCCCACAAAGUCCAUGAAGUCACUUCUCUGCGCUCGCUCUGUUUCUGUGGUCAGUUUAAAUGAGGUACCUGAGUCGAUCUAACAGCUUGCUGAUGGUACAUGCAGUUCUGCUCCCGUCCUCCUGCAGCUAUUUGUGAGUCUGUGCUGCUUCUGUUGCACCACUUCUGGCAUUCAAUCUGUUCAUUAAACCGGCGGAAAAUUAAAGCAGAGUGAAUACUGUUCUGCCAGUUUAGUCAGUUGAGUCAGCCCACGGGUUUAUGAGCCAGCGGCAUCCGUCAAAUCGACACUGCUCGGCUUUGUUGAGCCUCAUGAUGUUCACCUGGGCCCACUGCUCGGCCUGUCCGGGUCCCUCUGGCUGGCAUCCUUUCCUUCUGUUCUAUCAACUGCACCGCUCAGCUCGGUGCCAUCAGCAAAGUGCUGCGGGUGCACUCAAUCCAUCACUGAUGCCAUUGCUAAAGAUGCUGAAGAGCGCCGGUCCUGAGAUGGACCCCUGGGGGCCACCACUCCUCACUGACCUCCAUCCACACAUUGAGCCAUUGAGCACCACUCUCAAUCUUGUUGGUGCAAUCUUGUUUUCCUAUGCAAAGAAGAAGAAUUUCUUCUAAUGGCAGCUGUGAUUCUUAUGCUAUUACCUGAUUGCAGGAAUUCGGGCUUUAAGCAUUAACAUCAGAGUCAUGAUAAGAUCCUGAUAUUUACUGCACUGGCUUCUAAAAGCCAAUGCCAUGGCUGGAAUGCUUUCUAUCAAUUCUGAAAGGCGGUGGUGACUGGGGAGAGUUCCCGGUAGUUGAUAAAAGCAGAAUUCUCCAGCUGACAGAAUAUCCUGCACUGAGAUCUAAUUGCAGGCUGCUGCAGGGAACGUCUACGCUUUGACUUCCAUUUAACCAAUUCUUCUGUUUUGAAUAAAUCCUACUUAGUCAUUGAAAUAAGUAUCUGCUGGGACAACCGCAAUGCAUUCUUCUGUUACAAGUUAAAAUGUGUUGUACUUUACCCAUGCUCAGUAUUACAAGAGGUGCAUCUGAGAGGCUCCUAGAAACCACUCAGCUCUUGUGUCUUCUGUGAGAUGAGUUUGUAUGCUCUACUGUGAUCCGCAGACCAUGAAUGACACAGUAAAUAUGGACAUUGAUCUCUGCCAUGACAGCCUCCUCCUUCCAGCUGCGGGGUGUUCUUUAUCUUACCUUUACGAUGCUUGUCAGCGUUGUCCUCUGCCAGUUCCAUGUUACUGUUUGUUUUCAAAUAUGGAUUCCUGAAGCACUACAUCACAUAUUUACUGGCAUUAAGAAUGGUGUAAUAUUGGACCGUGUGCCUUUUUGAAUUAGUCUACAGAACAGGCAAAAAAAAUAGCCUAUUGCAGGCUUUUUGAAUUAGCUUAUAAUUAGCCUAUGAUAGGCUGGAGCAAUGGGCCAAAGGCGUAUGAGGAUUACCAAGGCUAAGUGUCAGGUCCUACACUUGAGUCACACCAAGCCCAUGCCAUGCUGCAGGAUGGAAGAGUGGCUGGAAAUUGCCCAACAGAAAAGGGGCUAGGGGAGACCUCAUCGCUCCCUACAGAAGAAGGCUGUGGUGAGGGGGCAUCAGCCUCUGCUCCGGGGUGACAGUGAUGAGAAGCGAUGGCCUCAAGUUGUGCCAGGGGAGGUUUAUCUUAGCUAUCAGGAGGAAUUUUUCCAUGGAAAAGGUUGUGAAGAAUUGGAAGAGACUGCCCAGAGGAGUAGUUGAGCCACCGUCCCUGGAGACAUUUAAAAGAUCUGCGGACGCGGUGCUUGGGGACAUUGGGGCUUAGUGGUAGACUUGGCAGUGCCAGGGUAAUGAUUGGACUCAAUGAUCUUUGAGGUUUUGUCCAACAUAAAUGAUUCUAUGAUUCUGUAAUUGAAUCAAAGAAAGGGCUCAGUUCAUUUGCUCUCCAAUCUAACAGUGUCUUAUGAAAGCCUCAAGAACAGUGACGGAGCAUCUUUCUGUGCUAUGAUAUUUUGCCAUUCUGUUCAACAUCAGAAGUCUUAGUUUAAGAGUAGACAGGACAGGAGAAGUACAAAAGCAUAAUUGAUCCAGAUGAGGCCAUGUGAGCAGACCAGCUGGCCUCUCCAAGGCCCCUUCAGGACCGUUAUCCAUGGUUUUAUGAUUUAUGGAAGUCCUCACAUUGGGCAGAUGGACCAGCAGGAGAAAUGUUGUGGAGACACCUGGGGAUUUGCCUUGGCUUUGGGUACUGCUGCCAACCCAGCUCUGUGCGGGAAAUGCCAACCCACUAAAUCAAUGACCAAAAUACUCUUCUGGGAAGCUUGCUUUUAAACAAUGUCACUCCCCAGAUAUUGAAGGACAAAGUUCACCACUCCACCUGUUGAAGUAAUUUAACAGUUUUUAUAUUGGGCAUAAAGCCAUCUGCUAUUUAUUAGAUAACAGAUUUGACCCAGAGUCUUGCUCUCCAGCUGUGCUCUCAGUACUGGACUGAAUUGUUCAGGUCUGCUUCUCCUUUCCUCCUUCCCCACUUGAUUUGUAUAUGUACAAAGAAGACAAAAUGUUCCAGCUAGGAACUACAACAGGGCUGGGGAAAGCUGAGCAGCUCAUCAUUAUCCAGCAGUUAUAAGAAGGAUGGCGGACAGGAGGUUUCCAGGUGUCCUUCUGAAUGUUGGAAAGAAACAAAGGAAUCUGGAAAGGACACCUUGACAAAGGGCAGGCUCAGAACAUUGGUAUGGAAGCAGAGAAAAUACCUCUCAGUACACAGGGAUUAGAUGAACAGCUUCUUGCAGGAUUCCUUAGGACAUGGGUUUCCAAAUAUCCCAUUUUCCAUCUGCUCACUGGUCUUUCCUCCAUUUAAGCUAUCGUCUCCAGGACUGCUAGCAAUAAGGAAGGAAUCUCAAUCCACUGACCACUUAGAACCAGAUAAUAGAGGUAAAGCAGGGUAAUAUUUGUUAGAGCUCCUCACAUAGCAGACAUAGACUAUGUCAUCCCCUCAUUGUCAUUGUGAGCAAUUUCUUCCUUAUUCUUCAAUCCACCCCAACAACCUUAAUAUCAAAGAAGAUUUUUCUUUAUAUUUCACUUAAUUCUUCCAAAUUCCCUGAUUUCUUGUCUUACCUCUAUGAGUAUGGAGAACAGAUUAUUUACUACUUCAGGGCAGUUGUCCUUUCCCUAUCUGAAGUCUUCAGUUUUCACUCACUCACAUCUUUCAUCCCCAAAGGCUCACAGUAUCCACACAUCAUUUGAAGACUCAAUUCUCACAAAGGCUGAAAAAAAUAGCAUUUUCCUGGCUCAAUCUUAAGCAUGUAGUUGCUUCCUAAGGGAGCCUGAGUGCCGAGGAAUUAGACACAGCAAUGUUCGGCUGUCUCUGCUGAAUUUACCUUCAUUUCCUAUAGUUAUGGAAUAAACAUUAACAGAACCAAGGAUUGGUCCUUCUGGCUCCAUUCUGAGGUCCCCAUCAUUCCACACUGGCACUGAACAUAUUUUGUUUCAUUUUGGGCAUGCAAAACAAACAAACAAACAGACAAACAAAAAAACCACCAACCCAAAACAACACAAAUAUAAGAGCAAGGUACUUUUCAAUAAUGUUCAUGCUAUUUAUUUUGCAGUAUUUCUGCACUGGCUUAUUGCACACAUGAUCAAAUGUGUAAAAAUGAUUUUCAGCAGUGUAUCUUCUUUCUGCAGUUUACCAGAAGUGCAGCUUCAAAUUCACGUUUGUGAAGGGCCAAUGGAACUCACGUGCUUGCUGUGUCUUCAUGCCCUGCUGCCUGCACUCAGGCUGCCACCUGUUUCCUGCCAAAGCUGCUGGCUUUAUCAAUUUCAGAUGGAUUGCUACGUGCCACAGGAAAUACAGGCGCUAGAUCCCAUUCUCCAGAAACCUUCUCAGCCUACAUGAACUGCUAGUAAUAUACAGCAGAAGUACUGAAGUCCUCCAAAUAUGCAAACAACAACAGAUGCAGAGAGUACAAUAACACCGUUUGACAGAGCAAAUUCUCAGCUACAGAACACCAUUUUUCAGUGCCUCCACCACCAUUAGCUGUGCAUUUUCAUCAGUGAUGAACAAGAGCUGCAUGCCGUGCUCUAAAAAUCUGCACAGCUGUCCAGAAGGCAACUCAACUGUUGCAUUACUGUCAUCACUACUGAAAUGCACCACUCACCACAUCACUGUGCUCACAUCCACUGCUGGGUCUCCAGAAACAUUCCAAAGUGUUGAUGACUGUUAAUGGGCGCCAUUCUUUUCUGCAUGGAGGAAUUCAAUGACACGCCUUUGCUAUAUACGCACUUCUGUUUCAGACACCAUGUGUCAUACAGCAACAAUACAUGAUGGGAUAUCAGUGGGAAGGUUCAACUUCUACUGCCAUCCCACCAACACCCUCCUCUGGUGUUGUGGGCCAACAUUAGAAACCAGGAGGCAUUACUUUCGGAGCAGCCCUGUACAAACUCAGCUUUCUGUUCAGUCUUUCACCCGCUGCAAACUUUACUUUGUCUGUUGAUAUUGCACAUACAAAUGAUCACUGCAGAGACCACAGACAAGUUAUCUUAUGGUAUACAGAGUUCGAGACAGAGAGGACCAAACUUGCGAGACAUUCCCUGUUCCAUGCACAGCACAGGGCAGCCACAGGGAUGGAGAUCACCACUCUGCACCCAGGAAUCAAAGCACAGAAAAUCUCAGGGGAGGCUGCAAGAUUGUGCAAAGGUCAGUAAUGCAACAGAAGAGGAUCAAGAUGAGCACUUCUUGAAAUGUAUUAGUUUUUGGAAAGCCUGUUUAAAUUCUUCAUUAAAAGCUGUAUAAAUGACGGGGUUGAUUAAUGAGUUUAAGUAACCUAACCACGUAAAGAAGUCCAACAGGAUGGGAUGAAACCAACAUGCGUCCUGGCAGAUGGGCAGGACGAGGGACAUGACGAAGAACGGCAGCCAGCAGAAAAUGAAAGCUCCUAGAAUGAUGCCUAAAGUUUUGGUGGCUUUCCUUUCUCUUGCAGCAGAAAUUCUUUUCCUUUCCAGAAUACUAUCUGCAAGUUUUAUUUGAACGUGGUUGAUGAAUAUCGGGGAUCCACCGGAAUGGGAAUGCCCUUCGUGAAGGCUUGCGUUAAUGGAGCAGAGGGAAGACCCAGCAGAGCCAGUUAUCAGGUGUGCAGUAGUGAAUCGUUUCCCAUACAGUGAGGGUGGCUUCAGGAUCCUGGAUCGAGCUGCUACAUAAAUCCUACCGUAUAAUAUUAGGAGGAGCACAGUUGGAAUGUAGAAAGCUCCACAGGUGGAAUAAAUUGUGUAGGAAAUCUGAUCUGUGUUCACAUUACACUUCGCGAUUUCUUCAUGAGCUUUCACUUGCCUCCAGAAAAAUGGUGGCACAGAAAUACUAAUGGAGAUCAUCCAAACCACAGCGAUCAUGAGCAUUGCUCGGCCAGCAGUCCGGCGUUUGGCAUAUUCCAAAGCAUCUGUGAUAGCCCAGUAUCUGUCCAGUGCAAUAACACAGAGGUGUAGGAUUGAGGCUGUGCAGCAUGUGAUGUCUGAUGAUAACCAGAUAUCACACAGCACUUGGCCAAAGGCCCACGUGUGGGUGACAGUGUAAGCGAUACUGAUGGGCAUCACAAGGACAGACACUAAAAGAUCUGUUACUGCCAAGGAGCCAAUGAGGUAAUUUGCAGGUGUGUGGAGCUUUCUAGUCAAAAAAAUUGUAAUAACAACAAAAACAUUUGCAAGGAUUGUUGCCAAAGUUAUGACAGACAGAAGGACCGACAGGGAUAUCUUCAGCCCUAACAGUGUCCUUUCAUCCACGGCCAGCGGUGGUUCAGUAAAAUUUAAUGACUUAUUUGCUGAGCUCUGGAAAGAUAGCUCUGCUGAGAGGUUAUACUGAGUCAUCCUCCGUCCUGAUUUCAGUUUUCAAUGUAAUCUUUCCAGGAUGAUGAAGAAAGCUGCUCACCUUUUUACUGAAUUACAACUUCUCAUACUAGACCCCAACGCUGAAGAAAAACCAAGUUGUUGAAAACAGCAGCUGCAUAAAUCAAUACUGGAAAGUGAGAGGCUGAAAUAGAAACAUGUGGACAUGUAACCUAUGCCCUGAUGUUUGGGACAAAGCUAUCCUCAAGAGUAUUUUCACUUCCACUCUAAUAUCUGAAUGUCACACUUCUGGUAUUUAUGAAGAUCUCUACUGGUAGAGUACCCAAAAGAUAACACAAUACUGCCUGGAUCCCUGAUGUAAACCUAAUUUCUGCCAGAUCUGUAGAUCAGGACCUGUUUCUGAACCGUGCAGAGCUCUGUUCUUGUUUAUUCCUCCAGACCAUUCUGGCUUUCUCUUCAACAAACAUCCAGUCUUCAAAUGCUGUAUUGGGAACCAGAACUCAGUGCAUUGGUGCUGAAGCUCACUGAAUGUGCCACGUACUGAGAUGCUCCCAGUCAUGCACACGGUGAAUGACUGCAAUGACAGGUGGUGCUUCCCUUGAAAGAGGAAGAGUAGGGCUGGCUAAAGGGAUCUGCAAAAAGAAAGUGAAUAUUUUAGUCCACAAUGGUGAUAGAGGAUUUGUGGAAGUUGAGCUGUGGCAGUAUACAAACAGACAUUCCAUAUAUUUCUUUAGAUUUACUUCAUGAAACUGAAAUCUUUACAAACCUGAAGAGAACAUCCUAGAACAAAUUUCAUUGAGAUCCUUCUGUCAGACCCACCCACGAGUACCAGAACAUCACUUACUUAUGGCAGCCCAUGCUUUCUUGAUAGAGAUCCCAAAUGUGGGUCAUGAACAGUUCUAAAGCACAUCCCCAGGGCUAACAACAGAGACACUGAACUUCACAAACAUAACCCCCAGGCCAGCUUCCUCCCAACCACGGAGCUGAAAUGCCUCUAACAGCAAUAACCUGCACAGCUUCACAGAAUUUGACAAAGAACUGAGACUCACGUGGUGGGGAAUCUGUAGAGCAAGAACAUCCAUCCCACAUGAAACACCAACGUGUCAAACAGCUUCUCUCGAGCUCCUAACACUGUGCACAGUGCUUUCUGGUUUUCUGUGAUUGGUUGUUUUGUUUUUGUAAACAUCCACCUUCUGUGAUUCAGAGCUACUUUCAGAGAUGCUGUUUCUUUAUAGGUGUAUUUUUUCAAUAAGGGACCAAGAAGAGUCACAUAUUUCAUAGUGAACUAUUACUCUCUUCAACCAACUGCUCUUCUUAAUGUCCAUUUUUGUGACUCUGAGCAAAGGUUCAAUGCAUGGGUGUCCAACCUGUUGGCUUGCUUGAGCUGCAUAUAGGUAGGCUGCUCCAAAAGUAAUGCCUCCUACUUAUUUCAGUGAAAAAUACAACAGCUACACUGAGCUCAGUAAGUCUAUUUGAUAAACCAAAUUCUCACCUACAGAACACUAUUUUUCAGUAUAUCCACCAUCAUUAGCUGAGCAUUUUCACCAGUGAUGAACAAGAGCUGCAUUCCAUGCUUAUAACAAUCUACACCAGCAGAGAUGACCCAAAGAUGAACAUGCAGCAUAGUGGUCUUUCCUGCUCUCAGUUUCUUUCCCCACAGUUCCUGAGAGCUAUUUUUUUCCAUCAUCAAACCACUGAUCUGACAUUUCCACUAAACAGUCCCAAUUAAUAUAAUUGCAAAGGCAUAAGUGGUAACAUCAGCAUUUUUUUUUCCUGUGUGCUCAUUUUUUGCAUCUCCCUGUACUGAACUCCCAUGUUUUACCUAACAUUCUUUGCAACUCUGCACAGUCAGUCCUUUCUUUUAAUACUUGAAAAGCUUUGUCUCACCUCAGUCCUCACACUUUCCAGAUCACUGGUAGUCUGAGCUUUCCUUAUUUACCUUCUUUAAGAAUCUCUGGCCAAGAACCUUAUCCAAAGUCUCUUGAGAAAUCCAAGUAAUUGUAUCAACUGGACAUCAACCAAUCCGUAUACUCCACGACUUCAUUCAGUGGUUUUGUGAGGCAAAACUUACCUUUACAAAAGCCAAUUUCACUGUUCCACAGAAGACAGUAUUUACUGUAUGUGCACUAAUUGUACUGUUCAUGAUAUUUUCUGCAAACCAGCCAAGUACAGACUUCAGGUUUAUGAAUACACAGUUACCCAUCAGGGCUCUUAGGAAACUACAUCACAACAGCUGUCUUACAGUUGGUGGGUGUAAAGGGAGUUUUAAGUAUUUUAAAUAGAGGUUAAACACCCUUCUUGAUCUCACUGUACCUUGGACAACCUGAGUUGCAUUGAGCUCUCUGGCUUACAGCUACCUGAUUGUGAAGAUCUGUUAUUCAUUUUGGCCAGAAAUAAAGGUUCCACUUGAAAACUUAUCCUGGAUUCUCUUCAUCAGACAGGGUUGCUAAAUGUCAACCUACUUUAUCUGUGAUAAUUUUCCUUUAUAUUCUUGAUUUCUUUUUCAUUUUCCUAUUACCAUCCCUUUGAUUCUCUGACUCAAUAGCUCAUUUCAGAGCUGUUGCUUUUACAGCCUAAGAAAUCUCUUUACCUGAGCACCAGGCUGAUCACACAUCC
rnacentral:lncRNA from 1 species